rnacentral:tRNA from 1 species
GACAGCAUGGUGUAGUGGUUUGAGCACUGGACUGAGACUCUGGAGACUAGGGUUCAAAUCCCUCCUCAGCCA